rnacentral:rRNA from 1 species
CAGGCUUAACACAUGCAAGUCGAGGGGCAGCGGGGGAGUAGCAAUACUCCCGCCGGCGACCGGCGCACGGGUGAGUAACACGUAUGAAACCUGCCCGUAGCAGGGGGAUAAGCGGAAGAAAUUCCGUCUAAUACCGCGUAACAACCCUUGGAGGCAUCUCCUCGGGUUUAAAGGAAGCGAUUCCGGCUACGGAUGGUCAUGCGUCGCAUUAGCUUGUUGGCGGGGUAACGGCCCACCAAGGCGACGAUGCGUAGGGGUUCUGAGAGGAAGGUCCCCCACACUGGUACUGAGACACGGACCAGACUCCUACGGGAGGCAGCAGUGAGGAAUAUUGGUCAAUGGCCGCAGGGCUGAACCAGCCAAGUCGCGUGAGGGAUGACGGUCCUGUGGAUUGUAAACCUCUUUUGUCAGGGAGCAAAGGGCGUCACGUGUGGCGCUUUGCGAGUACCUGAAGAAAAAGCAUCGGCUAACUCCGUGCCAGCAGCCGCGGUAAUACGGAGGAUGCGAGCGUUAUCCGGAUUUAUUGGGUUUAAAGGGUGCGCAGGCGGAAUGUCAAGUCAGCGGUAAAAUUUCGGGGCUCAACCCCGUCGUGCCGUUGAAACUGGCGUUCUUGAGUGAGCGAGAAGUAUGCGGAAUGCGUGGUGUAGCGGUGAAAUGCAUAGAUAUCACGCAGAACUCCGAUUGCGAAGGCAGUAUACCGGCGCUCAACUGACGCUCAUGCACGAAAGCGUGGGUAUCGAACAGGAUUAGAUACCCUGGUAGUCCACGCAGUAAACGAUGAAUACUAACUGUCCGGGCCGAUUGAGGUCUGGGUGGUACAGCGAAAGCGUUAAGUAUUCCACCUGGGGAGUACGCCGGCAACGGUGAAACUCAAAGGAAUUGACGGGGGCCCGCACAAGCGGAGGAACAUGUGGUUUAAUUCGAUGAUACGCGAGGAACCUUACCCGGGCUCAAACGACGGAUGGAUGUUUUUGAAAGAAGGCAGCCCUUCGGGGCAUCCGUCGAGGUGCUGCAUGGUUGUCGUCAGCUCGUGCCGUGAGGUGUCGGCUUAAGUGCCAUAACGAGCGCAACCCCCAUCACCAGUUACCAGCAAGUAAAGUUGGGGACUCUGGCGAGACUGCCGGCGCAAGCUGUGAGGAAGGCGGGGAUGACGUCAAAUCAGCACGGCCCUUACGUCCGGGGCGACACACGUGUUACAAUGGCAGGUACAGAGAGAAGCGAUGCGGCGACGCAGAGCGGAACUUCAAAGCCUGUCUCAGUUCGGAUUGGAGUCUGCAACCCGACUCCAUGAAGCUGGAUUCGCUAGUAAUCGCACGUCAGCCACGGCGCGGUGAAUACGUUCCCGGG